GAUGAACGCUGGCGGCGUGCCUAAUACAUGCAAGUCGAGCGAAUGGAUUAAGAGCUUGCUCUUAUGAAGUUAGCGGCGGACGGGUGAGUAACACGCGGGUAACCUGCCCAUAAGACUGGGAUAACUCCGGGAAACCGGGGCUAAUACCGGAUAACAUUUUGAACCGCAUGGUUCGAAAUUGAAAGGCGGCUUCGGCUGUCACUUAUGGAUGGACCCGCGUCGCAUUAGCUAGUUGGUGAGGUAACGGCUCACCAAGGCAACGAUGCGUAGCCGACCUGAGAGGGUGAUCGGCCACACUGGGACUGGGACACGGCCCAGACGCCUACGGGAGGCAGCAGUAGGGAAUCUUCCGCAAUGGACGAAAGUCUGACGGAGCAACGCCGCGUGAGUGAUGAAGGCUUUCGGGUCGUAAAACUCUGUUGUUAGGGAAGAACAAGUGCUAGUUGAAUAAGCUGGCACCUUGACGGUACCUAACCAGAAAGCCACGGCUAACUACGUGCCAGCCGCCGCGGUAA
rnacentral:rRNA from 1 species